CACACAGGUGGCUUCCCCAUGUAAAUAAACAGGGCGUGACAAUCAGAGGGCAGGUCGAGGGGCACAUCAGACCCCCAACGGAAAGCCAGAUGCUACCGCUCUCCUGGGACCUGCAUGAGCGAACACCGAAUAAGAAGCGACAUCACAGGGAAACUAAUACAGACACACAAGGGAGACGUGUGUAUUAUUCAUUUUAGCUAAAAUUAAAUCAGAACAAUGCUGGUCCCAUGUACACACUCCCACACACGAGCCCAGAGGACCGGGGGAAACCCGCCGGCGUCAAGUGCAGCAACAGUCUGGAGACGUAGACGACGUAAACAAGCAUCUCCAGCCAAGGUGACUAUGACUGUUCAUUAGCACCCUGUGGAGAUGAACAGAUGCAAAGUCUGAUAAGCCGAAUGGAGCCAGACAGCAGCGUCGGUGCAACAGACUAGCCGAUGACUGUGCAGAUACUGAAAGCGACUGUGAACAGCGAUCUCUCUUUCUACCCUUUCUCUCUGUUUCUCUUGUUCUCUCAUGUCCCUAUUUUCUUUAAUUCAUGAAGUAUUUUGUUCUCUGUCAAACUAAAAUGAGAGCUUUAAGAGUUUUCAGUAAUAGUAACACAAUCCUGAUGUUUCUCAAUAUGGCCAUCAUAAUGAGGCCA